CGUGUUUGUUUACAUGUCCAUCAGCUGUUCUUUUGAAAUUAUUCUGGCAAGGAUUCGACUGCAAAUCUCCGUACUUUUAACAACCAACUCGAUUUCUUUGCCAAUUUGAGUGAAAUUAAAGCUUAUGAACUCGACUUUUAAACUAGAUCCAGACGAUGUGCCUGCUGGUGUUUGUUACAGGAUGUUAAGGCCUGGGACUAUUUUUACUGCUCCUGCCUAACCUCUCUUCAAUAUCAUUAUGGCGAGCACAGUAGCUGGAGAUUGCGGUGGCUGUGACAUGAGUUACUUUGAGACAAUACACAAUUUUUUUCAUCAUGGUCUUAGAGCAUGUGAUUUUCUUUGCAAUCAUGGCACUUUGUGGAAGUCUGUGUAUUGCCCGCGCUGCAAGAAGCCAUGCCAACUCUGGGAGGACCAAGAGACAUGGUUUUGCACAAGUUUGACCAAGAGAGACCAAGAAUUGCUCUUUCAGAUGUGUUGGGAAUUUGGCAAGAGAAGCAGAACCCGCUAGAUGAACUCUCCACCACUUCUUCAUUCAGAUUAACUGCCUUUCAGCUUGCCCAGCUUUGUCCGCUGCAAUAAGAGGAGAACGCCAUCCUUAUGCUGUGAUCCCAGCUGAGCUUGAGGGAAAUCCAGAUGACACAGCAGAAUACCGUCCACCUCUAAGCAGAGAUGUGUAGAGCCAGGUGGUCACCUAAUUGUCACACACGUUGCAGUUAACAGGCGCCGAUGACCUGCAUGAAGGGCAGCAAAAUACAACAAUCAGACCUUAGAUCAUUGGCCUUGGACUAUGCUGGGGUGAUACACAACCUUUCGAAGCUAAAGAUGUCCUUAACAGGGAAUGAGUGGAUUAUCUGCCCUGGCUGGACCAAAGAAACGCAGAAUUUUAGGGUUGUCUAAGAGAUUACAGACUUUGGCAAAGUGCAUCCCAAUGA